GCAGGUUCUCCCUUGCAUGCAAGAUGGGUGCUGGCCCACUGUGAGGCUUCUGCUCGGGGAAGUUCUGUGGAGUCACUACCAGGGCCAAGAGGCAGGUGGGCUGGCUCUGGGACGAGGGCCAGGUGUGAGCAAACUGCCAGGGUCCGCUGUGCCACUGCUCCCCGGCCACAUGCCCGCCCAGCUGUCGCCUUAACCAGACUGAACAGACAGGAUCCUUCAGGGCCCUUGGCCCCACUCUCAGUGCAUUCUGUCAUCAGGGAUUACCACCUGUACCAUUUUCAUAAAACAAAACCAAAAUCACUACCAUCAAAUGGCCUUGUCCCUCUAAAAAGUCUGCUUAAAAUUCUGUUUUUAAAACCCAGUUUCCUAGUUUUCCAGGCAAAUAGUUACCUCCGGGAAAGUUGCUGGGGGGGCCUGAAGCACAAUGUAGCGCAGAUGCUUCCUUUCCAGGCCAUUCUCUCACCCAGCCUGCACGGAGGAGAUGGGAGAUGCUGGGGGUCCUGCCCUCAGUCUUUUUGGGCCUUAGGCGUUUCGUUCAUCCUGCUAAGGGGAUGAAGCAAACACGAGGUGAUUCCUUUGCCUUUCAGAGUGGAAGCCCUGGAGUUUGUUUUGAAGGCCAGGAGGCUGAAGGAUCUCUAAGCUACGGUGUGGGCUUAAUAGCAGCAGGCUUUGUCCUCCUGUCUCCUCCAAGCCAGUGUCUGAUUCCUUGGCAACACAGGUCUUAGUCUGUGGAGUGGCUCUGCUGUGGCCUUCCUCUGGCCGGGCAGGCACUGUCCAGCCAUAGCCAGCUCCUGAGAAUAGGUCAGCCUCUCCUUUCUGUCUCCCAGGGCACAUCCAGCCCGUGCCUGUGUUCACUGUGCCCCGAAGUGCAAUUACCCAUACCCCUUCUCAGCCUGGGGACCCCAGGCAACCACAGACUGUCCACUCAGGGGAGCUGAAUCCCAGGUCAGCCCUGCCAAUGUCCCUUAGGAACUGCCCAGGCAAGGCCCCUGGUUUUGUAUACUUGUUCCUGCCACCCAGCAGUAGAUGAGUGUUUCAGGUGAAGACCAGGAUAGAUUUUCUAAGUGUGAAUCCCCACUUCACAUAUGGAACCCCUUAUGCUGAACUUGAAAAGCACCAAGACUUCCUGUAGACAAGAAAGUGCUUAGGUAGGGACAGCCCCUGGGCAUCCCACCCAAUGUAGCUGGCACCCCACUAUGGCAAAGGUGCCUUGAUAACUGAGCCCUGUAUCCCUCCCAUGCCCAGCCAGAUUCUCAUGGGAAGCCCUCUCCCUUCUUUUCUGCCUAACACCAUCUCAUCGUUUCUGGCCUCACUGUGGACAAUCCACACACAUUCUUCUUUCCUCUCCUGGCGGGGCACAGAGCCACCCCCUUGCCUUUUCUUUUCUUGAAGGUUCUAGUUCAGCUCCUGAUUCAUCAGACCCUUCUAGCCCCCUGCAUCUAGCAGUGAAGCAUGAAGCCUGGUGGGGAUGUGGUACUCCCAUCUGGUGUGGCCACCAGCUCUGCCAAUGUUCCUGUAGCCUUGGAAAACUUGCUCUCUCGGUUCUUUUGGGUGCUGUGUACUCCCCAGCUUCCCCCCUUCCCCCCCCAUUUUGCACCUGGGUUUAGUGAAAGGAUGGCAUUUGGUUGACCCAUAUAGAAACCCAGAAUGAGGUCUCAGGGCCAGGAGGCCUGGUAUUUGUAGGCCAGGGAAGGGGAAGAGGCAAGUGGUCUGGGGUAUCACCAGCCAGCCCUCUCUGAUUUGGCCUCUACUCCCCAUAAGUCACAGUACCAUAAGCAGGCUUCUGGCCUCAGCAAUUUGGUCUUUGUGCCCAAGUUUAUUGUGAGAAUUUCCUGAAAACUCUAUAAAAGGUCUCUUCCUACUGUAGGCCUCUAAUGUUUCUCCCCUUUUUGCUUCAGUCCACUCUUCAGUCUUGUAGGCCUAGUUUUCAAACCUGCACAUGUGUCCUACCUGGCCACAGGCAUGCAGGCCUCAGGCAGCUGGGCCAGUUUGGGAGCCUCGGGUGAUGUCUGCACGAUCUGGGGCUGCCUCUGCACCCCUGCUGUGGGCUUCAGGGUUGGAGAAGGGCUGGGACCAACCGGGUGAGAUCCACAAGUCUCUGGAUGUGGCUGAAGGCAAAUACACAAUUGAAGUACUUUCUGUUUUGAAGUGCUUUCCCUUUUGAAUCUGGUUUGAAACAUGCAGCUUCUGUCUCUAGCCCAAGGAAAGACCAAAACAUAGGGAAAUAAAAGCAUUUAUCUUUGUCUUGGAAGUAAUUGUUGAAGUUGUGCAGUUGAUCAGUGCACAGUUAGAUGCAAUGUUUAUAGAAAUUGAUUGUUAAACCAAAUUUACACUGGCAUGUGUGGUGUAGUUUCUAAAAGGCACUUCACAUUUGAAAUUUUUCUUACCUUAGAAAGUUUCUAGUGAUCUAAAUGUCUAGUUUUGUAUUCUUUUGUGUGUGUUCACUGUUUCUCAGUAUUACCACUUGAAUAAUUCUCUGUACAGGGGGGUUUGUGCUAUACACUGGGAUGUCU
rnacentral:lncRNA from 1 species